GGGUGGUUAGCUCAGUUGGUUAGAGCGGUCCGGUGACAUCGGACAGGCCACAGGUUCGAGUCCUGUACCACCCA
rnacentral:tRNA from 1 species